GACGAACGCUGGCGGCGUGCUUAACACAUGCAAGUCGAACGGAAAGGCCCUGCUUUCGUGGGGUGCUCGAGUGGCGAACGGGUGAGUAACACGUGAGUAACCUGCCCUUGACUUUGGGAUAACUUCAGGAAACUGGGGCUAAUACCGGAUAGGAGCUCCUGCUGCAUGGUGGGGGUUGGAAAGUUUCGGCGGUUGGGGAUGGACUCGCGGCUUAUCAGCUUGUUGGUGGGGUAGUGGCUUACCAAGGCUUUGACGGGUAGCCGGCCUGAGAGGGUGACCGGCCACAUUGGGACUGAGAUACGGCCCAGACUCCUACGGGAGGCAGCAGUGGGGAAUAUUGCACAAUGGGCGGAAGCCUGAUGCAGCAACGCCGCGUGCGGGAUGACGGCCUUCGGGUUGUAAACCGCUUUCGCCUGUGACGAAGCGUGAGUGACGGUAAUGGGUAAAGAAGCGCCGGCUAACUACGUG
rnacentral:rRNA from 1 species